rnacentral:rRNA from 1 species
GAUGAACGCUGGCGGCGUGCCUAAUACAUGCAAGUCGAGCGAAUGGAUUAAGAGCUUGCUCUUAUGAAGUUAGCGGCGGACGGGUGAGUAACACGUGGGUAACCUGCCCAUAAGACUGGGAUAACUCCGGGAAACCGGGGCUAAUACCUGAUAACAUUUUGAACCGCAUGGUUCGAAAUUGACAGGCGGCUUCGGCUGUCACUUAUUGAUGGACCCGCGUCGCAGUAGCUAGUUGGUGAGGUAACGGCUCACCAAGGCAACGAUGCCUAGCCGACCUGAGAGGGUGAUCGGCCACACUGGGACUGAGACACGGCCCAGACUCCUACGGGAGGCAGCAGUAGGGAAUCUUCCGCAAUGGACGAAAGUCUGACGGAGCAACGCCGCGUGAGUGAUGAAGGCUUUCGGGUCGUAAAACUCUGUUGUUAGGGAAGAACAAGUGCUAGUUGAAUAAGCUGGCACCUUGACGGUACCUAACCAGAAAGCCACGGCUAACUACGUGCCAGCCGCCGCUGUAA